AGUGGCGAACGGGUGAGUAACGCAUCGGAACGUACCGAAUAAUGGGGGAUAACUGUCCGAAAGGACAGCUAAUACCGCAUAUUAUUCGAGCGGCCGAUGUCUGAUUAGCUGGUUGGCGGGGUAAAGGCCCACCAAGGCGACGAUCAGUAGCGGGUCUGAGAGGAGGUUCGGCCACAUUGUGACUGAUACAGUGCCAAGACGCCUACGGUAGGGAGAAGUGGGGAAGUUGGGACAAUGGGCGAAAGCUGGCGCCAGCCAUGCGGCGGGUCUGAAGAAGGCCUUCGGGGUGUAAAGGACUUUGGUCAGGGAAGCGGUACCUGAAGAAUAAGCACCGGCUAACUACGUGCCAGCAGCCGCGGUAAUUC
rnacentral:rRNA from 1 species